UACGUAGGGUGCAAGCGUUGUCCGGAAUUAUUUGGGCGUAAAGAGCUCGUAGGCGGUCUGUCGCGUCGGCUGUGAAACCCGGAGCUCAACUCCGGGCCUGCAGUCGAUACGGGCAGACUGGAGUUCGGCAGGGGAGACUGGAAUUCCUGGUGUAGCGGUGAAAUGCGCAGAUAUCAGGAGGAACACCGGUGGCGAAGGCGGGUCUCUGGGCAGUAACUGACGCUGAGGAGCGAAAGCGUGGGGAGCGAACAGG
rnacentral:rRNA from 1 species